UACGUAGGGUGCUAGCGUUGUUCGGAAUCAUUGGGCGUAAAGCGCGUGUAGGCGGUCAGGCAAGUCGAAUGUGAAAUCCCUGGGCUCAACCGAGGAAGUGCAUACGAAACUGCCCGGCUAGAAGACGGUAGAGGAAGGUGGAAUUCCUAGUGUAGAGGUGAAAUUCGUAGAUAUUAGGAGGAAUACCGGUGGCGAAGGCGGCCUUCUGGGCCGAUCUUGACGCUGAGACGCGAAAGCGUGGGGAGCAAACAGG
rnacentral:rRNA from 1 species